rnacentral:rRNA from 1 species
GGGUUGUGAGGUUAAGCGACUAAGCGUACACGGUGGAUGCCCUGGCAGUCAGAGGCGAUGAAGGACGUGCUAAUCUGCGAUAAGCGUCGGUAAGGUGAUAUGAACCGUUAUAACCGGCGAUUUCCGAAUGGGGAAACCCAGUGUGUUUCGACACACUAUCAUUAACUGAAUCCAUAGGUUAAUGAGGCGAACCGGGGGAACUGAAACAUCUAAGUACCCCGAGGAAAAGAAAUCAACCGAGAUUCCCCCAGUAGCGGCGAGCGAACGGGGAGGAGCCCAGAGCCUGAAUCAGUGUGUGUGUUAGUGGAAGCGUCUGGAAAGGCGCGCGAUACAGGGUGACAGCCCCGUACACAAAAAUGCACAUGCUGUGAGCUCGAUGAGUAGGGCGGGACACGUGGUAUCCUGUCUGAAUAUGGGGGGACCAUCCUCCAAGGCUAAAUACUCCUGACUGACCGAUAGUGAACCAGUACCGUGAGGGAAAGGCGAAAAGAACCCCGGCGAGGGGAGUGAAAAAGAACCUGAAACCGUGUACGUACAAGCAGUGGGAGCACGCUUAGGCGUGUGACUGCGUACCUUUUGUAUAAUGGGUCAGCGACUUAUAUUCUGUAGCAAGGUUAACCGAAUAGGGGAGCCGAAGGGAAACCGAGUCUUAACUGGGCGUUAAGUUGCAGGGUAUAGACCCGAAACCCGGUGAUCUAGCCAUGGGCAGGUUGAAGGUUGGGUAACACUAACUGGAGGACCGAACCGACUAAUGUUGAAAAAUUAGCGGAUGACUUGUGGCUGGGGGUGAAAGGCCAAUCAAACCGGGAGAUAGCUGGUUCUCCCCGAAAGCUAUUUAGGUAGCGCCUCGUGAAUUCAUCUCCGGGGGUAGAGCACUGUUUCGGCAAGGGGGUCAUCCCGACUUACCAACCCGAUGCAAACUGCGAAUACCGGAGAAUGUUAUCACGGGAGACACACGGCGGGUGCUAACGUCCGUCGUGAAGAGGGAAACAACCCAGACCGCCAGCUAAGGUCCCAAAGUCAUGGUUAAGUGGGAAACGAUGUGGGAAGGCCCAGACAGCCAGGAUGUUGGCUUAGAAGCAGCCAUCAUUUAAAGAAAGCGUAAUAGCUCACUGGUCGAGUCGGCCUGCGCGGAAGAUGUAACGGGGCUAAACCAUGCACCGAAGCUGCGGCAGCGACGCUUAUGCGUUGUUGGGUAGGGGAGCGUUCUGUAAGCCUGUGAAGGUGUGCUGUGAGGCAUGCUGGAGGUAUCAGAAGUGCGAAUGCUGACAUAAGUAACGAUAAAGCGGGUGAAAAGCCCGCUCGCCGGAAGACCAAGGGUUCCUGUCCAACGUUAAUCGGGGCAGGGUGAGUCGACCCCUAAGGCGAGGCCGAAAGGCGUAGUCGAUGGGAAACAGGUUAAUAUUCCUGUACUUGGUGUUACUGCGAAGGGGGGACGGAGAAGGCUAUGUUGGCCGGGCGACGGUUGUCCCGGUUUAAGCGUGUAGGCUGGUUUUCCAGGCAAAUCCGGAAAAUCAAGGCUGAGGCGUGAUGACGAGGCACUACGGUGCUGAAGCAACAAAUGCCCUGCUUCCAGGAAAAGCCUCUAAGCAUCAGGUAACAUCAAAUCGUACCCCAAACCGACACAGGUGGUCAGGUAGAGAAUACCAAGGCGCUUGAGAGAACUCGGGUGAAGGAACUAGGCAAAAUGGUGCCGUAACUUCGGGAGAAGGCACGCUGAUAUGUAGGUGAAGCGACUUGCUCGUGGAGCUGAAAUCAGUCGAAGAUACCAGCUGGCUGCAACUGUUUAUUAAAAACACAGCACUGUGCAAACACGAAAGUGGACGUAUACGGUGUGACGCCUGCCCGGUGCCGGAAGGUUAAUUGAUGGGGUCAGCGCAAGCGAAGCUCUUGAUCGAAGCCCCGGUAAACGGCGGCCGUAACUAUAACGGUCCUAAGGUAGCGAAAUUCCUUGUCGGGUAAGUUCCGACCUGCACGAAUGGCGUAAUGAUGGCCAGGCUGUCUCCACCCGAGACUCAGUGAAAUUGAACUCGCUGUGAAGAUGCAGUGUACCCGCGGCAAGACGGAAAGACCCCGUGAACCUUUACUAUAGCUUGACACUGAACAUUGAGCCUUGAUGUGUAGGAUAGGUGGGAGGCUUUGAAGUGUGGACGCCAGUCUGCAUGGAGCCGACCUUGAAAUACCACCCUUUAAUGUUUGAUGUUCUAACGUGGACCCGUAAUCCGGGUUGCGGACAGUGUCUGGUGGGUAGUUUGACUGGGGCGGUCUCCUCCUAAAGAGUAACGGAGGAGCACGAAGGUUGGCUAAUCCUGGUCGGACAUCAGGAGGUUAGUGCAAUGGCAUAAGCCAGCUUGACUGCGAGCGUGACGGCGCGAGCAGGUGCGAAAGCAGGUCAUAGUGAUCCGGUGGUUCUGAAUGGAAGGGCCAUCGCUCAACGGAUAAAAGGUACUCCGGGGAUAACAGGCUGAUACCGCCCAAGAGUUCAUAUCGACGGCGGUGUUUGGCACCUCGAUGUCGGCUCAUCACAUCCUGGGGCUGAAGUAGGUCCCAAGGGUAUGGCUGUUCGCCAUUUAAAGUGGUACGCGAGCUGGGUUUAGAACGUCGUGAGACAGUUCGGUCCCUAUCUGCCGUGGGCGCUGGAGAACUGAGGGGGGCUGCUCCUAGUACGAGAGGACCGGAGUGGACGCAUCACUGGUGUUCGGGUUGUCAUGCCAAUGGCACUGCCCGGUAGCUAAAUGCGGAAGAGAUAAGUGCUGAAAGCAUCUAAGCACGAAACUUGCCCCGAGAUGAGUUCUCCCUGACCCUUUAAGGGUCCUGAAGGAACGUUGAAGACGACGACGUUGAUAGGCCGGGUGUGUAAGCGCAGCGAUGCGUUGAGCUAACCGGUACUAAUGAACCGUGAGGCUUAACCUUACAACGCCGAAGGUGUUU